rnacentral:tRNA from 2 species
GCUCGAGUGGUGGAAUUGGUAGACACGCAAGACUUAAAAUCUUGUGUCCUUUGGGACGUGCGGGUUCAAGUCCCGCCUCGAGUA